CCACGGACCAGUCAUCACGGGUCAUUGCUUCAAAGGCUGCCCAUGAAUCAUCAGCCUCGACCAUAGCAGCGGAGGUCACCAAGUCUGGGGCUGCCCAUGAAUCAUCAGCCUCCACGGACCAGUCAUCACGGGUCAUUGCUUCAAAGGCUGCCCAUGAAUCAUCAGCCUCGACCAUAGCAGCGGAGGUCACCAAGUCUGGGGCUGCCCAUGAAUCAUCAGCCUCCACGGACCAGUCAUCACGGGUCAUUGCUUCAAAGGCUGCCCAUGAAUUAUCAGCCUCGACCAUAGCAGCGGAGGUCACCAAGUCUGGGGCUGCCCAUGAAACAUCAGCCUCCACGGACCAGUCAUCAUGGGUUGUCACUUCAAAGGCUGCCCAUGCAUCAGCCUCGACCAUAGCAGCGGAGGUCACCAAGUUUGGGGCUGCCCAUGAAACAUCAGCCUCCACGGACCAGUCAUCAUGGGUCGUCACUUCAAAGGCUGCCCAUGCAUCAGCCUCAUCGGU